rnacentral:rRNA from 1 species
AGAUUGAACGCUGGCGGCAGGCCUAACACAUGCAAGUCGAGCGGCAGCACGGGUACUUGUACCUGGUGGCGAGCGGCGGACGGGUGAGUAAUGCCUAGGAAUCUGCCUGGUAGUGGGGGAUAACGCUCGGAAACGGACGCUAAUACCGCAUACGUCCUACGGGAGAAAGCAGGGGACCUUCGGGCCUUGCGCUAUCAGAUGAGCCUAGGUCGGAUUAGCUAGUUGGUGAGGUAAUGGCUCACCAAGGCGACGAUCCGUAACUGGUCUGAGAGGAUGAUCAGUCACACUGGAACUGAGACACGGUCCAGACUCCUACGGGAGGCAGCAGUAGGGAAUAUUGGACAAUGGGCGAAAGCCUGAUCCAGCCAUGCCGCGUGUGUGAAGAAGGUCUUCGGAUUUGAAAAGCUAACUUUAAGUUGGAGGAAGGCAAGGUAAAUUAAUACUUUGACUUGUUUUGACGUUACGACAGAAUAAGCACGGCUAACUCUGUG